CCUGGGUGGCUCAGUCUGUUAAGCAUCUGACUCUUGAUUUUGGCUUAGGUCAUGAUCUCACAGUUGUGAGUUCGAGCCCUGUGUUGGGCUCUGCGCUGACAGUGUGGAGCCUGCUUGGGACUCUCUCUCUCUCUCCCUCUGCCCCUCUCCCGCUCUUUCUCUAUCUCAAAAAUAAAUAAACAUUAAAAAAAAAAAAACCCUGAGUAACCAAAUUAAGCAUUGUUCCAACCUGGAUCCCCAUGCCCAGUCCCUCUCUGAUUUUCUUGGCUGUGAAUAUUUCCCAGUAAAGAUCCCGAGUCUCUAUAAGAGCAUCAGUCUAUGCAAGAGGCAUUGUUUCAUCGUCUCAGAUGUCUUAAAUGCCAGAGCCUCCCACCGCAUGGCCCUGUUUCUUCCGCUGCUACACAUUCUUAUCUUUUAUUGCUUACAUCAGAAUCUUUGCCCAUUAGAAAGGUCCUUACAGAAAAUGUCAGAAAUUCAAAAGAAAAUGACAGAGGAAUACAAAUUGGAACAACAACAAAAUACCACUUUUAACUUACAAAGUUGGCAGAGCAUACAAAAAGGAACUGUAUCAGUGUUUGCUUAGAACUGGUGAAAAGACAAAUUGGCAUCAUGUGUCUGGAAGGACCUUUGCAAACACACACUGAGUAUCUUAAAAUGUCUGUUGAUCUUUAAUUUCUCUGCUAGGAAUUUUCCUAAGGAAAUACAUACGUAUACAAAGACUAUUACCCCAAUGAUGUUUACCAUUGUAAAAAAAAUGGAAUUAUCUUUAAUGUCCAAUCUUAUGGUACCAGCUGAAUAUAUUAUGCUACAUUUAUACGACAUAUGAUAAGGAAUACUAUGCAGGUAUUAAAAAAUUAUCACAAUAUAGUAAAGAAGGAAAACAACAGAAUUUAAACCAGUACGUAUACACUUUGUAGCAUAGCAUUUAUAAUGUUAGAAAAGAAGGCCUGCAAUUCAUAUACUAAAUUAAAUAACAAUUAUCUCUAGGUCGAGAGAUUAUGGGUGAAUUUUAUCUUUGCUUAUUUUCCAGAUCUAUACUUUCCAAAUUUUCCACACAUGACAUGUCUUCAAUGUCAUAAAAUGGGUUUUGCCCUCUUCCUUAUUUUUCUUUAAAAAUAUUUUCAUGAUUUUCCUUAUAGAUAAUUAAGUAAGGAAAGGGGUAAAACAACCAAAAAGCCCUAUUACCCUACCCGAAAGAACUGCAUAGCACCUUUCCUCUCCUUUAGCCAGUAUCUUCUUUAAAAUACGGUAUCAGAAGAGAUCACCAACACAGUUGAGGGAAACUGAAAACAAAAGAAAGCGAAACGCACACACACAAACCAUUAAACAGUGAAACAGCCGCAAGAUGCAACUGAUUUCAAAAGAAAAAAAUCCAACAAUACUCAGUUCCCUGUCCGUUCUCUAAACUCAAGCUGUCUGCUAAGCCCGGUAAAUUCAGGAAGCGGUUGUUUUCCUCCCUCCCUCUCUCUCUCCUUUAGAACGAGCUGUAUUCACGCAGCUGCAAGGGCUGGUAGGACCCCUCGCUGCAGGAUGGGGGAGAGAACGCAGAGCAGAAAAAGAUCCACGAUGCACAAUCAGGCGCGUAGCUCAGCGAAGGCAUAUAGGGGCUGCUCAGGGAAGGGUGCCUAUAAUUGCUAUUAUUUACUUAAAAAAUGUAAAAAUCAGGACAGCCCCUUUUGGAGGAAAACAAGCAGGAGCACUGAGCUAGCGUCACCCAGUUCCCAGGCAGCUGACCGCUGUGCACAGCAGCAAGUCAACCAGAAGAACUACUGAGCCGUUUCCGGGGUUUCACGGGAAGGAUGAAGAGUCCUGAGAGCCCGUAUCCCCUUAGGGGAAGUGGGUCACUUGGGCCCCAGAUGUGCCUCUCAGCCCGGACUCAAGCCUGCGUCAGCACCUGCCGGCUGGCCGGUCACCGGGCGGAGCGUGCGCCCUCGGCGUUGCAUAAUCCUCCCUGGGCUGCCUCGCACCGCGCGCUUGUCGUAGGCUCCCCCUGCUGGAGCAACGGGGAAACGGCGCGUUCCCGGACCUGGGCUCCUGGCCCCAAGCUUUCUCCACUUGUCUUUUCCCACCGCGCCACCACCAGAAGGGAAUUUUCUGCAGAGGAGAAGCAAUGAACCUUAACCCCGCAGCAUAAAGCAUCCCCUGGAGCAUCCGUCAGUAGACACUUGCAAUGGGAGGAAGGGCUCAUUCUCAACAGUCCUCACAUGCUCCAAUUCUUGUCUUAAGCCUGUGCACCGAGGCGUGGGGAGGCCAGGCCUCCGUCUGGCAGAGCAGAGCAGAGACCCGGCCAUAGUGUCCCAGGGGAGCACCAAGAGACCGGUGUCUUGCUUUUAACCGCGCAUCAUACCACAGAGGCAGAAGGACCCUCAGACUACAGGGACGUCCUAAGCUUUCUCUCCUCCCUUCCUCUUCCCUACCUUCCCCCUGCACCCCCACUGCCCCCCCCCCCCACCCUUCCCCACUUAACUCCUGUCUGGACCAACGGCCUGUGGCUUCUGUAGAACUGCAGUAAUGCCCCUUGAAGUGAGAUUCAACUAGCAAUAAGAAUAUCAGAGGCAUUCAGUCUUGCCUCUGACUUGUCUUUUCAAAAAUUUACGACCACUGAGCUUGGGUGGGCUGUGUCAGCCCCAAAUUUCCCAUACCACGGUGCCCUUGCACUUAGAGAAAGGCAGUGUCGUAAUUGUGCGACCGAGAAAAAGUAACCGAUACCGUCACCUUCCCUUUGCUCUGUGACAGAUGUGACACAUCUCUCACCGGAGCUGUGGCUGAAGUGUGUCCAGGGUGAGUAGAGACCGAGGGGCUGACCGUGUUGUGCAGGCGAAAACCACGUGCCCCUAGAGUACUCUCUCAGAAUCUUUUAGGGAAUCCUUGACAUUUAAUUUUGGUCCACGUUAUUUAUGAUCUUAUCUUCUCGUGGCUCUCAAUCCUAGCUGCCCUUCAGAAUCACCUAGGGAGCUUUUAAAAAUUGCUGAUGUUCAGGCUGUGAAUAAUUAAAUCAGAACCUCUGGGGAGUGGAUCCAGGUCGUCUGUAUUUUUUUUUUUUUUUUUUUUUUUAAGAUUCUCAGGUAGGUACAAGGAUCAGCCCAGGUUUAAAAACACUGCCCUAGUCUUUACUUUCCUAGCUUGAAAGAUACGACCUGAUACAAAAUAGGAACUCAGCAGUGUUUGAUGAAUGAACAAAUUAAUAACAAGGAAUGGGAAGGGCAGAAAACAGAUGUAUAUUCCUUUAUAACAAGUAUGCUAAAGUAUUGCCAUUAGUGGAUUAAUAAAUAACUAAGAGUAGACCAUACCAUAAAGGCAGUUCGAAAACUAGGGGUGGAAAGCUCCAAGACAGGCUUAAGGAGAUGGCUCAGGUGGCUAAUGCUUAUGGGAAAAGGUUCCGAAGCAGCCUGUGUCUAGUAAAAGAAUCGAUUCUUGCUUGGAGGUGUGUGUGUGUGUGUGUGGGCGGGGGGGACCCAGGACAGGAAGGAGUUGGGAGAGGGGAAGAAUUUGAAAUCUCCCAACUGAUUAGGAAGAGAGGAUGGCAGGGUUCCCUGUGUUUCAGCAAGUUAAUGUGCCUGCAGAGCCUUGUUGAGCACACAGAGCAUGUGGAACUUGGGGCACCCGGGAAUGGUUGAAGCAGGGCACCAGGUACCACGUGUUGAGUGGGGACGGGACACAAACCCAUCCAAGAGACUCAGGAGCAAGAUACCCAUGCGGGGAGUCUCGGCACAUCCGGUCUGCCACCCAAACUAGCAGGUGAACUCACUGAGAUCAGAAGUAGUAUAUUUCUCAGACCCUUUCUGGAAAGUUUCCCCACAUACCUGGAAGUGGACUGGCUUCUCAAGUGAGUGUAAACAGUAGGGCAACUGAAAGAAAAAUUAAGGACAGAAUUCCAGUUCAAUGGGAUUGCAAGUAGUUAAAACCCAUGCAGUAAGUGUGGCACCAGACAGAGCCCUUCUGGGACAAGUGGAUUGCUAAAAAGGAGCUAAGUGGUUAAGACACGCGCGGAAUGAAAAUAGGUCUCGGGUAGGACUAAGCUGGCCCUCAGGAAUUGUACCUCCAGGCUUGAAGCUGACCAAUUUUUCAUAAACAGCUAAGAUUGUUUCCUUUCUCAUGUUUAGAUUCAAAAGAGGAUUAAUAGCUUAGAGUUUCUGUCAGUGCUUGAAGCAAAACGGUGUACCUUCUUAGUCACUUCAGAAUGACCUGCUUCAUAAUUCUGUGGCAUCAGUUCUGUCCCCAGCUAACAUUUCAAAUAUAACUGGCUCAUUUAACACAGUGGAAUAGUUAGAUAAAUGUGGAAGCUCUUAGGUAAAAGUGGAAGGAAAAAAAAUGUUUUUCUAUCCUGGGUUGGGGGAGAGGGCUUUUAUGAGGUCUUGGACCCUCACAAAUAUUCCCUGAUUUGACAUUAAGAAGCCUUGCCCAGUCUCACAAUUCUGUAAUUCCCAGUCGACUGUUACGAUGCAUACUGUGAAUGCUCAGACAAUCUGAAGUUUCUCCUUCCUCCAACUUGAACCCAAGUGAGGCUUUGGAGAUGAGAAAGAUGGGUGGGAGCACAGGUGGCCCUCUCACUACUUCCUUACUUGCUAGUUGUCUUUUAAUCGCUCUGAGGUUGGGGGUGAAGGGUUAGAGGGUGGCACAGCUGUCAUCUGGUGCUGGUGACCUUGUAGACGCAUCACAUGUUUGAAGGUCUCCUGUGGGAUGUCUGUUUGCAAGUCUUUGGAGGUCCUUUCUCUGGAGACGUGAAGCUCUCUCCAAAUGGGAAAUGCCUGUCACCUGUCAUCUGGCAGUUGCCUGCAGCUUCUAGCUCAGUCUCUGCACUUUGGUGCUCCACCCCUCUCUUGGGUCAUACGUGGCUCCAGGCAUUCCCCAUGGGUGACCUUUUUCUAGAUUAUCUCAACCCAACUCCCCCAAAGGUUCAUACUUCUUUUCUGACAAACUCAAGCCUUUGCCUUGCUUAAGUGAGGGGACACCUGGCUCAUUCUCCUAUAGGAGGCUUACACACAUGUCCUCUGACCUUUAGACUUUUAAGCAUAUCUUGGAAUUUGGUCCUCAUGUUCCCUACAUUCCCAGACACACAGAAACAAUUCUCCACAAGUCUCCUUAAAAACCUUUCCACUUGGGCUUAAGGUAAGGGGCACCCAUUCCUUUUCCCAUGUUGGCAGGAUCUAAGGAACAUAACAACUAACUCCAGAUAUGUCCUCUGGACCUUUCCAUCUUAAUCUCUCAAAAACUUGCAAGUGAGGUCGAGCAUCUCACUUUAGAAGAGAGAGGUUGUUGGCACUUGUGGAAGUUUUAAAAUAUAUUUAUAAUUUGUAUUAACAUCUCGCUUUGAAAAGCGGAACUUAAUUUCCUUACCCUUGUGUGUGGCUGGACUUAGGGGCUUAUUUCUAGAAAAUAGAAUAGAAACAAAGUGAUGAGAUUUCCAAGAUAAGGUCAUAAAAAGGCAUUGUAGCUUCCUUCUUGCUUCUUUUCUUUUUUGGAUCACUUGCUGUGGGAGAAAACAGCUGCCAUAUUGUGAGGACACUCACACAACCCCUGGAGAGGUCCAUGUGACAAGAAACUAAGCCUCCUGUCAACUGCCUUCUGGCCAAGUGAGAGUCUCUACCUGAGGGCUUCCUCUGGCCACAGGAGCCUACUGUCUUGAAUGGUGGCCACACAACUACUGAGGAGUUCUUGCCUCCAGGAGCAGCUGUCCUCUGCUGAUGGGAAGGGUUGGUGAAUAAUACCUCAGGAACCUCUCCGACUGGGUGGGGCAACUUUCCGAUGUGUUCUCCACAGUAACUCAGGGGCUCCCAGUAGCACCUUGUCCACUGAUGCCCCAUAUUGGCUUCUGUCCCUUUUGGGUCUCACUUUCCUACUCCAUGGUGGAAUGGGAUCAUUUCCCAUAUAAAUCAUUUGUACUU